rnacentral:rRNA from 1 species
CGCGCAGGCGGAUAGGUAAGUCAGAUGUGAAAUCUCGGGGCUCAACUCCGAAACUGCGUCUGAAACUGCUUAUCUAGAAUCUCGGAGAGGGAGGUGGAAUUUCGCAUGUAGGGGUAAAAUCCGUAGAGAUGCGAAGGAACAUCAGAGGCGAAGGCGGCCUUCUGGCCGAGUAUUGACGCUGAGGCGCGAAAGCGUGGGGAGCAAACAGGAUUAGAUACCCUGGUAGUCC